UUAACACAUGCAAGUNGAUGACUAAGUAUAGNUUGCUAUACGAGGUCAUGRCGGACGGGUGAGUAACGUGUAAAGAACUUACCUUAUAGACUGGGAUAACAGAUAGAAAUGUCUGAUAAUACUAGAUACUAUUACACUGUGGCAUCACAGAGUAGUGAAAGAAUACGCUAUAAGAGAGCUUUGCAUCCUAUUAGCUAGUUGGUAAGGUAAAGGCUUACCAAGGCGAUGAUAGGUAGCCGGCCUGAGAGGGUGGACGGCCACAAGGGGACUGAGAUACGGCCCUUACUCCUACGGGAGGCAGCAGUGGGGAAUAUUGGACAAUGGAGGAAACUCUGAUCCAGCAAUUCUGUGUGUGUGAAGAAGGUCUUCGGAUUGUAAAACACUUUUAGUUGGGAAGAAACAAAUGACGGUACCAACAGAAGGAGCGACGGCUAAAUACGUGCCAGCAGCCGCGGUAAUACGUAUGUCGCAAGCGUUAUCCGGAAUUAUUGGGCUUAAAGGGCAUCUAGGCGGUAUAACAAGUUGAAGGUGAAAAGCUGUAGCUCAACUAUAGUCUUGCCUACAAAACUGUAAUACUAGAGUACUGGAAAGGUGGGUGGAACUACACGAGUAGAGGUGAAAUUCGUAGAUAUGUGUAGGAAUGCCGAUGAUGAAGAUAACUCACUGGACAGAAACUGACGCUGAAGUGCGAAAGCUAGGGGAGCAAACAGGAUUAGAUACCCUGGUAGUCCUAGCUGUAAACGAUGAUUACUGGGUGUGGGGAUGAGAAGUCUCUGUGCCGAAGCAAAAGCGAUAAGUAAUCCGCCUGGGGAGUACGUUCGCAAGAAUGAAACUCAAAGGAAUUGACGGGGGCCCGYACAAGCGGUGGAGCAUGUGGUUUAAUUCGAUGGUACGCGAGGAACCUUACCUGGGUUUGACAUAYACAGCGAUCAUAUAGAGAUAUGUGAGCGUAGCAAUACGGCUGUGAACAGGUGCUGCAUGGCUGUCGUCAGCUCGUGCCGUGAGGUGUUGGGUUAAGUCCCGCAACGAGCGCAACCCCUACUGCCGGUUACUAACAGGUAAAGCUGAGGAUUCAGGCGGAACUGCCUGCGACAAGCAGGAGGAAGGCGGGGACGACGUCAAGUCAUCAUGGCCCUUAUGUCCAGGGCGACACACGUGUUACAAUGGGUAGUACAGAGAGUUGCCAGCCAGCGAUGGUGAGCUAAUCUAUUAAAUCUACCCUCAGUUCGGAUUGGAGUCUGCAACUCGACUCCAUGAAGCUGGAUUCGCUAGUAAUCGCGCAUCAGCCAUGGCGCGGUGAAUACGUUCCCGGGCCUUGUACACACCGCCCGUCAAGCAUGAAAGUCGUGGGUGCCUGAAGUUCGUAACCGCGAGGGGC
rnacentral:rRNA from 1 species